GCUAGUAUCAGGGACUCAAAAUGUAAGCUCAUCUAUGCUGUUUCUGUUUAAAGAAAAAAGAAAGUGCAAGCAUUAUUAUUCCUGGUGAGUUCGUUGCUCCUUGGACUUCCUUGUACAGGAAACAGAUGUAAACUGAGACGUUCCAGCUAUCAGAGAAAUAUGACAUGCUGCCUUUCUCCUCUCUCCCUUUUUUGAAGACUUAAGCUUCCAGACUCCCUGCUAGAAAGCCUAAACGUUGCACAAGGAGAUGAAUUUCCCCAGCCUCAUCUGCAGAUCAGUUGCAGAAAACUGAUGAAACCAGAAGAGGUGAAAGACUUCUGGUGAUGGAGACUCAAAGCAAAAGACAGACACAGGAGGUGAGUUGUGUGCAACAGUCGUCCUGCCAGGAACACCCCGCCAUCCCAAAGGGACACCGGAGGAAGCAGAGUCAUGGCCUGUUCACCCACCGCCUGCCUGGCCACAGGCACAGUGGGAAGUAAUUAUGACUACAAAAAGCCCACUAGAUGACCUCAGAGGAACUCUAGCUGUAGUGAUUGCACUCCCACAUCCAAGCUUUCUGCAUGUCUCCCCAAACUUUUUUAUGUUGUUUUGUUUUCUCUAAAACUGAAGAGAAAAAAAAAGUCGUAAGGCAUCAGAGAUUCUUAUGGUGAUUGUAUAAUAAUAAGCAGAUUACAAAGUACAUCUUUACAUGAUACACAGUUUAGAUAAGCAGAGGUUUCAGCCCAGCUUCAUGGAUAUUAAAAAUGGCUUAAAAAUCAUUUUUGUUCAGAAUACAUUGAAUGUGGAAGUUAUAUGCCUUCCUAUAAUGAGGAGAUAAGAUGUAUAAACAGUUGUGCAUGUUAAAAUGCCUACACAUCUUCUUUUAAUUAAGUUUUACUCAGCCACUCUGAUACAGUCCUUCUGUGUCCUGUGAGUCAGCUACAGCAAAGGGAUCUGUCAGAUUUCUACUUGAUUUGAAUUGUCCAGGGGUUAUCAGAUUCAAAUAAGGACAGGAAAUAUCCUGAGCUUUUGAAUAAAUCUCACACCUAUUUAGUCCCCUGAAAAUAUAUUUUUUUUUAUAAUUUACCUACAAAUUCCCAGCACUUUUCAGGGUAAUUCCAGUCAAAAUGGAAGUAGACAGACCUCUGGACCUCAAAAUAAAGUGCUCUGUUUUUUUUUUGCAGUUUUUCCAAUAUGAAUUCACAGGGUCAUUUAUAUAAACUUUGCUGAUCCUUCAGCUUUCUGAGGUGAACAAUUUUAUAGGUGACCAAAGGUAGGACUUUCCCUAAAAUAGGCACAGAGAGAGUCAACUCUGCUGCAGGGAGAGCUAUUAUUACUGAGAGAACCAACAUUUCAAUACCAAGUUACAGAAAGAAAUAGAAAUUUAAAACUAGUAUAAUAGAAGAAACAUCUGCGUGACCUAACUGUGUUAUUCAAUAUAAAAUCCUGUUCAAUAGCUCCUAUAACAUAUUACUUCUUAUCUGCUUGAGGGUGGUCCAACAGUACUUUGGAUUAUAUUACAAACGUAGAUGGAUUAGUUCAAAAUUUCCCAAACUAUCAUUUGGGAACUGACCAGAAAAUAUAUGAUUCUGCCCUCUAGUUAAAAGGAAACUGAAGAUGAUUAGCUGAGUUCAGUAAGCAAUGGGUUUUUCAGAUAGGAAAGAAAAUUGGUUUGGUUCAAACCAAAACUAAUUUUUUUUCAAGUUUCAUAGUGAAAUGAAUGAAGUGAAAAGAUGUGUUUUGGUUCAAGCUUUAAUGUUUCCUGUAAUCUACAAUUUUGUUGUUGUUGUUAUUGUCAAACUGUUUAAAUGUUUUGCUUAUAUUUUUUUAAUUUUUAUUUUUAUUUAUUUGUUUAAGAUUAGGUUGAUUUCUAACUCAAACCAACUUUGUGGAAUGAGAAGGCAGAGUCUUGCUGAGAGAAAAUAUGAGAUCCAAAAAUUCGGCACUUCUGACACAGAGGAGUUUGAUAUGAUUUAAUUAUUUCCUCUUUGCUUUUGCUUCUUCCCUUUCUUUCCAAGUCAGACCCAUAUGGUAAUUUUAGGAUUAAUUUUCAGAGGAAAAGAACUUCUUAAAACAUCAUGCUGUAAGCAUUUCAUGCUGUAAGCAUUUUACUACGUAAAUUUUUACGGUAAAUAUUUCAGCUGUAGCAAUUGGUAAUAAUGUCUUGCAUGAGAAAGAUGCUUGAUCCUGUGCUGAGGUCAGGGUUCUGCAGUGUGACUCCAUUUUCCUUAUCAGAGUGCUUGUUGUUAUGCCCUGUGUUGGAAUAACAGGAGAAUUGGGUUCUAAGGAAGGUAUUAGUCUGGCAUUUGUGUCCAUAAAACUUUUUGACGUUCCUUUUGUUGUUUCAGCGCUGCUGUUCAACAAAGGAUGAACUCUCCUAGUGGGAGCUGUCUGCUCACUGGUACCCCAAGGGUGGUUUUUGCUGAAGGAUUUGGACACAAAGCAGGACCCUCAGAUGGAAGAGAGAAGAGAAUGGAUUUUGUCACCAGCCUCUGAGAUACAUGUGUCUGCCUUACAGAUAGGUGGGAGUCAAUACUGUGUCAUUGAGAGGUCCUGCCUAAUGUCCUCUUUUGGCCUUCAAAACUGAGAAUCUCUGAGGAACUCCUGGUGUACUGCUGAAGACAUAACACAGCCUUCUGGUGAAUUCAGUGGAAUACCUCGUUACCUUUCAUGUUUACAUGUGUAGCAUGUUCAGUUUUUGUUGUUGUUUUUCUGUCACGUGAAUGCUCAAUGCUUUUGAUUGUGGCUAUAUCCUUUGCCAAGACACACCAUUUCUUUAAUUUUAAUUUUAAUUUUUAAUUUUUGUGUGUGUGUGUAUUACUGCAGUGAUUCACUUCCCUUAUGAGCAAACAUUGCUGCCUGCAAAUCUCUUUCAGGGUUAAACUCAGACACCCCUUGGACUCUCAUCGUGUUUGGGAGUUACAGCCACACGUGGGAGCCAUGGCUGAGCUGUGUGUGGGAAGGGGGGAGGAUUAUAGCCUUGUUCUCACACCCCAUUUCCAGGUGUUGAACUGCAGACAUAGGAGAAGAAAUUACUUCAUCUUAUCCAUCUGGCAGCACAAAAUUUAGGCUUUUACUUUCAUUAUCAUGGGGAUUUUUGUGUUUAGGUGGUUGCAUGUUGACAGAUCCACCUGAUUUAGAGAUCUCAUCUUUCUAUUAGUAAAUGCAUUUUCUAUAACAAAUACUUUUAUUUAUAGCUUAUUAUUGAGCCAACCAGAGAACCAGUCAUGAACAAUAAAGAAUGAAGGACAAUUCUUACUUCCACUCACAGUAGAACAGAAAAGGGGAAAACAA